rfam:Triticum aestivum genome assembly, contig: Triticum_aestivum_CS42_TGACv1_scaffold_054549_1BS
AUUCUACUCCCUCUGUUUCACAAUACAUGCCUUCUAUUUGUCAAAAUAUAUAUGUAUCUAGACAUGUUUUAGUAUAUAGGCACAUCCAUUUUUGGACAAAUGGAAGUCAAGUAUUUUGGAACGGAGGGAGUACACA